rnacentral:rRNA from 1 species
UACAGAGGUCUCAAGCGUUGUUCGGAAUCACUGGGCGUAAAGGGUGUGUAGGCGGUGUGUUAAGUCAGAUGUGAAAGCCCGGGGCUCAACCUCGGAACUGCAUCCGAUACUGGCAUGCUAGAGAAUUGGAGAGGAGUCUAGAAUUCACGGUGUAGCAGUGAAAUGCGUAGAUAUCGUGAGGAAUACCAAGUGGCCGAAGGCAGGACUCUGGACAUUUUCUGACGCUGGAGACACGAAGGCCAGGGGAGCAAACAGG